rnacentral:rRNA from 1 species
GACGAACGCUGGCGGCGUGCUUAACACAUGCAAGUCGAACGGAAAGGCCCUGCUUUUGUGGGGUGCUCGAGUGGCGAACGGGUGAGUAACACGUGAGUAACCUGCCCUUGACUUUGGGAUAACUUCAGGAAACUGGGGCUAAUACCGGAUAGGAGCUCCUGCUGCAUGGUGGGGGUUGGAAAGUUUCGGCGGUUGGGGAUGGACUCGCGGCUUAUCAGCUUGUUGGUGGGGUAGUGGCUUACCAAGGCUUUGACGGGUAGCCGGCCUGAGAGGGUGACCGGCCACAUUGGGACUGAGAUACGGCCCAGACUCCUACGGGAGGCAGCAGUGGGGAAUAUUGCACAAUGGGCGGAAGCCUGAUGCAGCAACGCCGCGUGCGGGAUGACGGCCUUCGGGUUGUAAACCGCUUUCGCCUGUGACGAAGCGUGAGUGACGGUAAUGGGUAAAGAAGCACCGGCUAACUACGUGCCAGCAGCCGCGGUGAUACGUAGGGUGCGAGCGUUGUCCGGAUUUAUUGGGCGUAAAGGGCUUGUAGGUGGUUGAUCGCGUCGGAAGUGUAAUCUUGGGGCUUAACCCUGAGCGUGCUUUCGAUACGGGUUGACUUGAGGAAGGUAGGGGAGAAUGGAAUUCCUGGUGGAGCGGUGGAAUGCGCAGAUAUCAGGAGGAACACCAGUGGCGAAGGCGGUUCUCUGGGCCUUUCCUGACGCUGAGGAGCGAAAGCGUGGGGAGCGAACAGGCUUAGAUACCCUGGUAGUCCACGCUGUAAACGGUGGGUACUAGGUGUGGGGUCCAUUCCACGGGUUCCGUGCCGUAGCUAACGCUUUAAGUACCCCGCCUGGGGAGUACGGCCGCAAGGCUAAAACUCAAAGGAAUUGACGGGGCCCCGCACAAGCGGCGGAGCAUGCGGAUUAAUUCGAUGCAACGCGUAGAACCUUACCUGGGUUUGACAUGGAUCGGGAGUGCUCAGAGAUGGGUGUGCCUCUUUUGGGGUCGGUUCACAGGUGGUGCAUGGCUGUCGUCAGCUCGUGUCGUGAGAUGUUGGGUUAAGUCCCCCAACGAGCGCAACCCUUGUUCACUGUUGCCAGCACGUUAUGGUGGGGACUCAGUGGAGACCGCCGGGGUCAACUCGGAGGAAGGUGGGGAUGACGUCAAGUCAUCAUGCCCCUUAUGUCCAGGGCUUCACGCAUGCUACAAUGGCUGGUACAGAGAGUGGCGAGCCUGUGAGGGUGAGCGAAUCUCGGAAAGCCGGUCUCAGUUCGGAUUGGGGUCUGCAACUCGACCUCAUGAAGUCGGAGUCGCUAGUAAUCGCAGAUCAGCAACGCUGCGGUGAAUACGUUCCCGGGGCU